rnacentral:rRNA from 1 species
AAUGAACGUUGGCGGCGUGGAUUAGGCAUGCAAGCCGAGCGGAAAGGCCCGCAAGGGCACUCGAGCGGCGUAAGGGACAGUAAUGUGUAGGUAACGUACCCCUGGGUCUAGGAUAGCUGCGGGAAACUGCAAUUAAUACUAGAUAACGUCUCCGGACCAAAGGUGUGAUUCCACCUGGGGAGCGGCCUAUAUCCUAUUAGCUAGUUGGCGAGGUAAUGGCUCACCAAGGCGAAGAUGGGUAGCAGGUGUGAGAGCACGACCUGCGUCACUGGGACUGAGACACUGCCCAGACACCUACGGGUGGCUGCAGUCGAGAAUCUUCGGCAAUGGGCGAAAGCCUGACCGAGCGACGCCGCGUGUGGGAUGAAGGCCUUCGGGUUGUAAACCACUGUCGGAGGGGAUGAAGUGUUAGUGGGUUCUCCCAUUAACUUGACUGAUCCUCGGAGGAAGGGUGGGCUAAGUUCGUGCCAGCAGCCGCCGUAAUAC